rnacentral:sRNA from 1 species
AUCCCCGUGUGGGGGAGGGGGGCCUUCGGUCUCUCCCCAGCCUCUUCCUUCCCCCUGGCCUGAGGGUGGGUGGGGAGGGGCAGUUCCUCUUUCCUUCCCAAGCACCGAGGAGGCCCCAGCUCCCUAGGGGCUGAGAAGCUGGAGUCCUGGGGAAGGGGAGGAGCUGAGCCCUACUCUUGCGAGACCCCCGCCCUCCUCCCCCCACGCGGGAAGCAUGAACAGAAAAGACAGUAAGAGGAAGUCCCACCAGGAAUGCACCGGAAAAACAGGAGGGCGAGGCCGGCCCCGCCAAGUGCGCCGCCACAAGACAUGCCCCAGCCCCCGGGAAAUCAGCAAGGUCAUGGCUUCCAUGAACCUGGGCCUGCUGAGUGAGGGCGGCUGCAGCGAAGAUGAGCUGCUGGAGAAAUGCAUCCAGUCCUUCGAUUCAGCUGGCAGCCUGUGCCACGGGGACCACAUGCUCAACAUGGUGCUGGCCAUGCACAGCUGGGUGCUGCCGUCCGCCGACCUGGCUGCCCGCCUGCUGACCUCAUACCAGAAGGCCACAGGGGACACCCAGGAGCUGAGACGGCUGCAGAUCUGUCACCUGGUCAGGUACUGGCUGAUGCGACACCCUGAGGUGAUGCACCAGGAUCCCCAGCUAGAAGAAGUCAUAGGUCGUUUCUGGGCCACCGUGGCCCGGGAGGGCAACUCAGCCCAGAGAAGACUGGGAGACUCUUCUGACCUGUGAGUCAGCCCUGUGCUCCCCUCUUCCCUGCCCCAUCGCCAUUCUGCCAUCUCCCUCUACAUCCCCAAGCCCUCAACUGUGAGCCACUCCAAUACCCUGCCCCUCUUGGCCCCCAGCCUGAGCCCUGGUGGCCCUGGCCCCCCACUCCCAAUAAGCAGCCCAGGCCUGGGCAAAAAGCGCAAAGUGUCCUUGCUUUUCGACCACCUGGAGACGGGGGAGCUGGCUCAGCACCUCACCUACCUGGAGUUCCGGUCCUUCCAGGCUAUCACGCCCCAGGACCUGCGGAGCUACGUUUUGCAGGGCUCAGUACGAGGCUGCCCGGCCCUGGAGGGCUCCGUAGGUCUCAGCAACAGCGUGUCCCGCUGGGUGCAGGUGAUGGUGCUGAGCCGUCCCGGGCCCCUACAGCGCGCACAGGUGCUGGACAAGUUCAUUCACGUGGCACAGGCUCCACCAGCUGCAGAAUUUCAACACGCUGAUGGCAGUCACAGGGGGCCUGUGUCACAGUGCCAUCUCCAGACUCAAGGACUCCCAUGCCCACCUGAGCCCUGACAGCACCAAGGCCCUCCUGGAACUCACUGAGCUCCUUGCCUCCCACAACAACUACGCCCGCUACCGCCGCACCUGGGCUGGCUGCGCGGGCUUCCGGCUGCCUGUACUGGGCGUGCACCUCAAGGACCUGGUGUCCCUGCAUGAGGCACAGCCCGACAGGUUGCCUGACGGCCGCCUGCACCUACCCAAGCUGAACAACCUCUACCUGCGGCUGCAGGAGCUGGUGGCCCUCCAAGGGCAGCAUCCACCCUGCAGCGCCAAUGAGGAUCUGCUGCACCUCCUCACGCUCUCCCUGGACCUCUUCUACACGGAAGACGAGAUCUAUGAGCUUUCUUAUGCCCGGGAGCCGCGUUGUCCCAAGAGUCUGCCACCCUCCCCCUUCAAUGCACCUCUGGUGGUGGAGUGGGCCCCUGGUGUGACACCCAAGCCGGACAGGGUCACACUGGGUCGGCAUGUGGAGCAGCUGGUGGAGUCUGUGUUCAAGAAUUAUGACCCUGAAGGCCGAGGAACAAUCUCUCAGGAGGACUUUGAGCGACUCUCGGGCAAUUUUCCCUUUGCUUGCCAUGGGCUUCACCCACCCCCACGCCAGGGGAGAGGAUCCUUCAGCAGAGAGGAGCUGACAGGGUACCUGCUCCGGGCCAGCGCCAUCUGCUCCAAGUUGGGCCUGGCCUUCCUGCACACCUUCCAUGAGGUUACCUUCCGAAAGCCUACCUUCUGCGACAGCUGCAGUGGCUUCCUCUGGGGUGUCACCAAGCAAGGCUACCGCUGUCGGGAGUGCGGGCUGUGUUGCCACAAACACUGCAGAGACCAGGUGAAGGUAGAAUGUAAGAAGAGGCCAGGGGCCAAGGGCGAUGCAGGACCCCCCGGAGCUCCUGUCCCAUCCACACCAGCUCCCCAUGCCAGCUGUGGCUCCGAGGAAAAUCACUCCUACACGCUAUCCCUGGAACCUGAGACUGGGUACCAGCUUCGCCAUGCCUGGACCCAGACUGAAUCCCCACACCCUUCCUGGGAAACAGAUACGGUCCCCUGCCCGGUGAUGGACCCACCAUCAACUGCAUCCUCCAAGCUGGAUUCCUAGACAUCUCUUGGUCUCCUCUCUUCCUCACUCCCUUCCCCCAGUCAGUCCUGAGUCCUGUCGUCAGACUCUGGCAGGGCUCCCAGAGGAGCAUCAACUCCAGGAGAACAGGGAUUUCUAUCAAUGUCAUUCACUGCUGCAUCCCCAGUGCCUAGAACAGGGCUGGCAGGUGGUAGGCGCCUGACAGAUGCUUGUCUGAUGCCUGAAUGUCUCCUUACCCAUGCCCACGGCGCAGGAUAGAUGUGCUAUAGGGCAAAGAACUUUGAGGGUCGAGCAGCAGGGGCCCAUUCAGUCCCAGGGAGCAGAGACCCCCCCCCCACCCCUUCACAAACCCCAACACCCCUGACUUGGCCCCCACAGAGAGAGGUCCUACAGCUGUCAUAAAUUAAAUUUAUUCUCUGGA